UACGGAGGGGGCAAGCGUUGUUCGGAAUUACUGGGCGUAAAGGGCUCGUAGGCGGCCAACUAAGUCGGAUGUGAAAUCCCCAGGCUCAACCUGGGAACUGCAUCCGAUACUGGAUGGCUUGAAUUCGGGAGAGGGAUGCAGAAUUCCAGGCGUAGCGGUGAAAUGCGUAGAUAUCUGGAGGAAUACCGGUGGCGAAGGCGGCAUCCUGGACCGACAUUGACGCUGAGGAGCGAAAGCCAGGGGAGCAAACGGG
rnacentral:rRNA from 1 species